rnacentral:rRNA from 1 species
AUUGAACGCUGGCGGCAGGCCUAACACAUGCAGGUCGAGCGGAUGAAGGGAGCUUGCUCCUGGAUUCAGCGGCGGACGGGUGAGUAAUGCCUAGGAAUCUGCCUGGUAGUGGGGGAUAACGUCCGGAAACGGGCGCUAAUACCGCAUACGUCCUGAGGGAGAAAGUGGGGGAUCCUCGGACCUCACGCUAUCAGAUGAGCCUAGGUCGGAUUAGCUAGUUGGUGGGGUAAAGGCCUACCAAGGCGACGAUCCGUAACUGGUCUGAGAGGAUGAUCAGUCACACUGGAACUGAGACACGGUCCAGACUCCUACGGGAGGCAGCAGUGGGGAAUAUUGGACAAUGGGCGAAAGCCUGAUCCAGCCAUGCCGCGUGUGUGAAGAAGGUCUUCGGAUUGUAAAGCACUUUAAGUUGGGAGGAAGGGCAGUAAGUUAAUACCUUGCUGUUUUGACGUUACCAACAGAAUAAGCACCGGCUAACUUCGUG